AUGAUGUUCACAUUUGGGGCUUUUACUCCUUUUGGUGCCAAGUCUGACAAGCUGGCUGUUGCUCAUUUUGUGUGAGUGACAGGAACCUGGAGAUACGGCCCUCUCCGCUGCGUAUGUGCUGUCAGCUCGGGUUAUUCGCAUCCUGUGGUAGUGUUGAAUUGCCCUUCUGAUGUAGGCAGAGAUCCUAUUUGUCUUUGUAGCUGCAGAACUGGCAGACUUGCUGAAGUUCAACCAGAAGGCCCUUGAAAGUCCCUACAGCUGAUUUCGUUAUGGCUUUUUUCUUUUUCAUUAUGUUUGACAUUUUGAAGGCUGAGCCUCAUUAUAGACAGGCAAUCUCCAGCACCAGGCUGGGGAAAUGAGUUCUGUGAGAUGGUGAACACAUGAAAAAAGUGAGAGAGAGUGACCACAAAAUUAAAAUGAGAUUUGAGGCACAUUUUUCCUGUGUUGUAGACUUGUGCAGUAUGUGUUCAAUGCAAUGUGCCUUGAAACCAAAGACCUUAAAAAUGGGAGGAAAAGGGAUCCCUUUUCACUGGGCAUCCAAGAAACAGAAUUAUUCAGUUCACUGCAGCAUUUCUUCUGCUCAGUGUAUAAAUAUCCUUAUUAAUGUAGCAAUACUAAUAUUUUCAAGGCUAAUUCUACUUUUGUAAUGAUGGAAAUGUGUUUGAGGUGGUUUGUAGUCAAAAGUCUUUAAACCAGAGGCAAAGAUGUCAGUGACACAGUCCCAGAGAAGGAGGAGCACCGGGCACUUGCUGUUAGGCUGAUCCUGCUAAAAUAACCUGAAAGCCAUCCGUAUUCCAUCCCGUAUCAACUGUUUCACCUGACUUGAGUCACAGCUGAGAGAACAUUCUGCUGUAUACAAAGAGCUCUGCUUGUUUCUUCUCCCUGUACCCUUUCUGAGGCCUAUUUUACUCCCUCUGUUUAUAUGUAGUUAUUUCUAAUAUAUAUAUUUUUUAAAUCCAGCUCUCCUACUUCACCAUUCUAUAUAAAUGCUCCUUUAUGCUACCAUGAAUCGGUUACCACACCAAUAAACUCGUGUGUAACGCAGGGCAAAGACAGUCUGAAGCACAACAGGGUUCGCAUGCGUUAAAAAGCUAGACCUCCUCGCUGUCGCAGAGAAGCAGGCAGAUAACACACUGGUGGAAGCAUAGAGAAGAGUCAGACAAGAUAAGAGACGGUUGGGCAAGGUCAGUGAAUUUGAAGAAGGAACCAGGGCAAUGCCAGGAGUUUGCAGUGCUCAUCUGAUGGGGACUGGUGGAAGGGAUUUUGAAUGUAGGUGAAGUCACCUCACAUAGGGUAAGUAUUUUAGAAAAAAUGGAAUAGAGCGUAACAGAAUCAUUUUUUUAUUUGGGUGGAAGUCUGAUUUUUUCUUAACCAUCAAACUGAAAAACAGCUGCUCAGUUAGCUCUAGCCAGAAUGUAACUCCCCGCCUUUUUGCAGGGUGUGCUGCUAAACAGGCAGUGUCUGCAGAGCAUUUCUUGUUGCUGCGUAUCGUCAUUACAGAACUCACAUGAGUGGGAAGGAAUGCAAUUGUGUGUUCAGCAGUGGUGGCGUUGGGGCAUCUUGGGUCAAAGGCCCAAGGUUAAGCAUGGUGACUCUGCCAAAAACAUGCAGUUUUUGUUAGGAAUGCUUGAAAUAAUUAAAAGUCUGAUUUUUCAGUGGUGCACUGUGGAUACUGCUUAUAGACUCAGUGAAAAUUGUCAAAUUUCAGGUAACGUUUAUAAAGCUUCAAAGGGCCAGAGCAUUCUUUGAAACUACACAUGGGAGGAGUGGUCCUUCCACAUAGCCAUGAAAAAUGAGAAUUCCCACAAUCUCUUCCUUGUAGGAACCUGCUCUAGUCUGAAUACUGACCUGCUUUUGAAACAUAUGAAUGCUUUUUUUUUUUUUUUUUUAAUAAAUGCAGACAUGAUAUUUGUGCUAUUUUACCUUAAUAAAUGCAGACAUGAUAUUUGUGCUAUUUUACCAUCUCCUACAUCUCUAAAAGCUCCCUGACUUUAUCAUAAUACUGUUUCUGGAUUUGGCCCACAUGUGAAAUCAAAAGCAGAGAAAUUCCUUUAGUGUGUGGAUGAAAUCUCAGACCAUGGGUGUGGAAGUAUAACCUUAGCUAUGACUGUGAUGUUCAAUAUCCACCGAUGAAGUAUUUGUGUGGCUGUGGAUCAUCAAGCAAGAUGUGCAAGAAGCAGACUAAAAUGUUCCCAACAAAAUGUGACUGUCUGCCCAGCCAACAUAUAUUGUCAUGACAAUUAUUUCCAAAAUAAUUGAAGCUAGUUUCUAUAUAACUUCUGUGAGCUUCCUUGUUAUCAGCCACAUAUGCUUGAUGCCUAACAUUUGAAUCUUUAAAAGGUUUUGAAGCUUUUAUUUUCUAUAGCUAUCAUAGGCUGACAAGAGUCACCGUGGCAGCAACAGGAAAGUGUUUGGGAUCAGUCUAAGGAGAGGGAGAAAAGCUGGAGGAAGGUGAUGAUGAAACUAGGGCAUUUGUGGCCCUUUCUAGGGAUAGGGGCUCAUGCCAUUUUUCUGGUUGCUUUGUGAGGGCUAUUAAAUUGUAAUGCCAAAGCCUUUUCCAUCAGUGGCCUAAAAGUAAUGCGUAUUUGAGUAUUGCAGAUUAUUUAGACAGUAGCUUCAUAGUUUGUGGCUGCUCAGGCAUCAGCCACAAGGAAAAUGCACAGUUAUGCUCACCCAGCUGGACAGAUAGCUUGUGACUAAAGUGUCUGAUCAACAAGGCUUAUGUUUGAUAUCUAGCAUUGUGAAUUUGAGCUGCUUUUCAAAAUAGCUGCAGGAUUUAAGCAGAAAUUAUUUCUAAUGAGAAACUACAAUUGGUUUCUUGCUCCCUUUCAAACUGAAAAAGACACAAAAUCAAUCAAAACUCAGGGUAAAUUAUUCACCUGACUUUAGCAAAGAAACAAACCUGGCAAUAAAAAGCCCUUCAUUGUGAGAGGGAGCAGAGCCCACACAGGAAAUGGGGCUGUAGAAAGUGCGGCUGAGCAGCCUCCUCCAGUUUGUGUCUCUGCUCUAGCCAUAUUCCUGCUAGACAUUUGCAAUUUUACAGGUUGUGGGUUGUGCACAAAUAAAACACUGCAUUCAAAUGUGGGGAAAGACAUAGGCAGGCAACACCAACAUGUCACACCCAGUUUUAAAGUUCAAGGUGCCAUUUUGCAUUAAGAGAAUAAUGAAUCUUUCAGGUGAACAAAUAUUCAAGUCCUGGAGCAAUACACUGAGGUGGAGGUUUAAUGAACUCUUUAGGGGUGGUUUUUCUGCUCGUGUAAAUUGGCGCAGAAAAAAAAAAAAAAAAAAAAAAAAAAAAAAGCCAGCAAAAAAGUUGCCCUGGCUUUAUAUAACUACACAGUAAUGAUCUCUCCCUGUUCUGCUGGGGAGCUUUUAUCCUCAAACACUGUGUUCCAUGUGGAUUAUCUUGAUGGUUUUUUUUCCCCAUUUAACACAGGAGAUAAAGACUCUGGCCUCUGUAUUUAACUGUAGCAUUUUCUAUCAGAAAAUAAGGCAGUACUUUCUAAGGGUAGCUCAUGCAUUGAACUCAGCUGUCAAAGCUACUCAUGCUGCCUUGGGUAAUUGGCUACUCACAAAUCUUUAUCUAAAGUAUAAAGUAAAUAACUACCAAAAAGCCUAACCUAAACUGAAGCUGUAAAUUAUCCCACAAAUUCAUUUUACUGCUGUUUUGCUUGGAUUUACUCAACCUAUAAAUCAGAACUGAACAAGACUUUCACAGAAUGAUGGCCACAAGGAUCUUUAUGAGGUCUACAGCCAUAAAUUUUGAAGCUGAAGAGGCUGAACCAGUAACCAUCUGAGCUCUCCUUUCCACACAGUUUGUAUGCUCUCUCGCUCACUCGCGUCUGCCAGCUUCCUCAGCAUUACUCAAAAUGCAUUCUGCCUCAUUGUUUAGAAACUUGUGUGAUGUUUGGUUUUCGUUUUUAAAAUGGGUAGGGUGGUAGGAGAUUGAGGGGUGCCCUGCUUUCUCUGCAAUGAGCGGUUGUUAGAGCAACCACCCAAACCACAGAAAGGCAGGAUUUGGCUUCCUCUUGAGCCCAUGUGGUUUGGACUGGCAUUUUCAGCUGCCCAGAGAGCUGCUGGAAAGUAGCACUGUUAAAGAAAUACGAGUCUCAUGGUUCAGGAAGAGCAAAGGAAGCAAUGGCUGUAAGAAGAGUUGUGGGGAUUUUACAAGAAAUAGUACUUGCCUCAGGGACUGGAAGUCAGAAUGACGGAGGUCUUGCUGGACUGCACCUGCUGUCUCCAACUGAACCUUUUCCGGGAUCGUUUUAUCCCCCAAACUGAUAAACUACAAGAAACAAACAUUUAGGUUUUAAAUAAUAUUAUAUAAAUUUGGCAUAGCUGAAUUAAUGGUUCCAGCUCUGAAAGCUGCUGUUUUACUUUACCACUCAGUAAGCUUGGUGCUCACUUAUCGUGAAUCUGAUUAAAAUCCACAUUUCCGAGUCCGACAAACCAAGUCAUUGUCAAGGAUUGUCUCUCAGAGUUAACUGUAGCUCCUAGGUGCUGUUUCUGCCUGCAAGGCAGAAGAAAUUUUGAAAUAAAGAUGCGUUUACCUGUCUUCCUGUCCUUGCUGCUGUUGGUAAAAUGUGUUGGUCUGUUUGGAGCUGUACUGCAGAGGUAACAUUGGGGGCUAUCCUAUUUAUUUAUUUCUGUGCCCUGUUCUCAAAUCCACAACAUUCCUGUAAAUGUGUGGCAUGGCUUUUGUCUGAAUAACACGUAUUAAUUUCUUUAUCUGAAUAGUGUAGAAAUGAAGAACACAACACUGCCAAGAUUUACUGCACAGAGCUCAACUGCUGGGUGGAGGAUAGCUGCAGUGACAGGACUAAUGCAAAUCAGAUCAGGGCAUUCUGUGGACCAGUAUUUGAUGCCACAGCCACCAGGCUGCAGCACUGCCAGAUGAUGCCGUACGUCUCCGUCCCUGCCAUCCGAUUCCGAGUGCUCACUGCGGUGUUCAACAGAAGGGCUUCUUAGA